rnacentral:lncRNA from 1 species
AUCAAUAAGCAACUAGAUAAACCGAGAAUUCUUAGGAAACUCAAGAAUGUGGCGGAUCCAUUCACUCCCUCCACCAGAUCUGGACGGAUAUGGACUGAGGCACUUUGCCAGAGCUGGGGGCACACCUGAUCCACGCCCCACACGGCUUCCAUUCUGACAGAAGGUCUUGUGUCACCACCUGCAAACGCACGUGAAGUAGAAAGAGCUGUGGGCACCCCCGGGGAGAUGUGACCAGCCCAGGCGUCAGGAAGAGCCACCUUGAUGAAGCAAUGUGUAAGCUGAGAGCUGUAGGACCAAAGGAGCUGACAAGGUAAAGAAGCACAAAAGAACAUUCCAGAUUAAGGGAGCUCAGGUGGGCCCUCAUCUCUAGUCUCCAGUGGAAAGAAAUCACACUCCAGGAAGAUGAUCUUCAGCACACAUUACGUCUUAAACGUGAAAACAGGCGAGAUAGAUAGAAAGAUCUUGUAAUGUCCUCGUGUGAGCUACAGGGACACGGGGACACGUGCAGACAGCCCCCUGAGGUGGUCCCUGCUUUGGGGAUCCCCACCCGCUCCCUCCAGCUCCCCGAGGCUGAUGGACAGGCACGGAUCCUCCUUCAGUUCUGAGAAUGAAGAAGUCCACGUUCCACCCACCCCGUGGCGACCACCGCCUCGCCCCUCCCAAGCGUCACUUCCCUCAUAUCUUGUUCUGUGGUCAGGGAGCAAAGAAGGAAGGAAUCUGAGGACAUGUCCACUCUUCACUUACCAAACACAGAAACUGACAGCUCUCUCCCUGCCGGCCCCGCUCCCGUCACAUGAAGAACAGAACAAGAAGCAACAACUAGUCUCCUUCCUGCUUCCUUCUCAAAUGAGCUAAAGAAAUUAUUCCGACACUUGUUCAAACGGUAAGGAAGACCUUGUUCAAGACUAUGGGAGUGAGGCUCCACUCCGAACGCAGCAAAGAUGGCUGAAUAUAGCAAAGAUGGUCCAGGCUUACAGCCCACGCGCAGAGGGAGAGGUCGGUGGGUGGAUGCAAAGCCACCAAGGAGACAUCCAGGGUCGGGGUGCUGGCUACGCUGACUCAGCAGGUUCCUGCAGAAGCAGUGAGGGCCAUCAGACCCCGGGCAGGGGUGAGGACCUCGCCCAGGCAUCUGGAGUAGGGAAUCUGGCUAAGCUGACUCGGCAGGAUUCUGUGCUGAGAUCGUCUUCCAAAGGCCAAGGACAAGGAGCCUGUCUGAAGCCUGGUCAAGGGGAGGCUCUUUGUGAACCACCAGAGUUAAACUGGGGCAACUUGUGUGUGUGUUUGCACACCUGCACAUAGCGUGUGUGUGCACAGACGUGUGUUUAAUUAUGGAAAUGGAAGAUGCAGAAGCAAGAGUAUUUUUAGUUGAGACAAGUUGCUCCCUCAGGCCCAGUUAACUCCAGGCUGUGUGGGGAUCUUCCCCCGCCCACAUCUAGAGAUGUGAACCAGCAGGGGUUUGCUCCAUCACUUAUCUG